GUUCAGUUUUGAGUUCGCUGGAAAAUCAUACUGAGACUGAAUACACCACUCUUGCCUUCACCUGUAUCUCUCACAGUAAGGGGACGCUCGUUCAGUUUUCAACUCCAUUCAGAAUCUUAGAAUGUGAGAAUAACAGUGUAAAAGAACCUGUUGCAAAGAGAGCCAAAGCAAAGCAGCCCACUUGGUCAUGGAAAUGGGGAUUCCUGCCUGCACAAGAACCUGGACCACAGCUAAGACCAUGUGAUGCACACACUCCCAUGAGUUAUUUUAUGUGAU